rnacentral:lncRNA from 1 species
AUGACGGAGAGGAAAGCUUCAUCGUGGUCAUUCUCUGUCUCACUGUCCAGCAGGGACUCCCCUGAGGGGCCCAGGGCUCCUCCUCCAUGGUGGGAGGUGGGCUUUUACCAGGUUCCACCACCCCCAAAGUGUGUGGGGUUCCGGGCCCUGGGCUUUCAGGGCAGGUGGCUCCAGGGGGCCGCGCAGGGUCAACACUCCCUGUCCCACCUGGUGGACGCUCAUGAGCAACAGCUGCCAACUUGGCAGGUUGUUUGCUCUGGUUGGAGGCCACUGAGUGACUGGCAGGUUGCCGGGCCUCGUGUGGCUGCAGGGAGGGGUCAGGAAGGGGACGGAGUACCAGGGGAACAUGGCCACAGAGCGAGGUUCCACAUUCCUCCACAUGAACAUGCUGACGCCACGAGAGGCCUCGCUGGACGCAGGCCUGUGGGCCGAGUACUUGGUCCGGGCAGGGGGUUCCUGGCAGGGGCUCACACCUCCUCAGCCCCCUCCUCAGCCAAGGUGGCUUGGGCCCAGAGA